GAAAGUUUUGCUGUGUAUUCCUGAGCAUUAGAGUGGUCAUGGUGAGUUGCUUCAAAGAUGAAGUUGAUAGAAUUGUAAGCCAAGCCAGCUUGGGAGGAAGCUCGAACUCAGUUUGGUAAAUGAUUCUACUCUGAUGAGUGCUUGCAAAGAAAAGAAGCAUUACAGAAUCCAAUAAGAUGUUAGAAGCUUUAAAAUCUCUGUAAAUCACUGGCUUCUCAGUGUCAUGCAGAAAAGCCAGGCCCUUAGCAGCCCCCACAGCAAUCUUCAGUCUUGUUGACCAUGGAACCUAUAAGGUUUGGUUGAUGAAAAUAUUUGGUGCAAAGGAAGACUAUCCCUUUAAUACAGUAAAAAAAUUAUGUUUAAGCAAUUUAGUGAAAGUUUAGGAGAUCAGAAAACGCACUUUGGAAUAAGUGAUUCUCUAAGU